GGGUUGUGAGGUUAAGCGACUAAGCGUACACGGUGGAUGCCCUGGCAGUCAGAGGCGAUGAAGGACGUGCUAAUCUGCGAUAAGCGUCGGUGAGGUGAUAUGAACCGUUAUAACCGGCGAUUUCCGAAUGGGGAAACCCAGUGUGUUUCGACACACUAUCAUUAACUGAAUCCAUAGGUUAAUGAGGCGAACCGGGGGAACUGAAACAUCUAAGUACCCCGAGGAAAAGAAAUCAACCGAGAUUCCCCCAGUAGCGGCGAGCGAACGGGGAGGAGCCCAGAGCCUGAAUCAGUGUGUGUGUUAGUGGAAGCGUCUGGAAAGGCGCGCGAUACAGGGUGACAGCCCCGUACACAAAAAUGCACAUGCUGUGAGCUCGAUGAGUAGGGCGGGACACGUGGUAUCCUGUCUGAAUAUGGGGGGACCAUCCUCCAAGGCUAAAUACUCCUGACUGACCGAUAGUGAACCAGUACCGUGAGGGAAAGGCGAAAAGAACCCCGGCGAGGGGAGUGAAAAAGAACCUGAAACCGUGUACGUACAAGCAGUGGGAGCCUCUUAAUGGGGUGACUGCGUACCUUUUGUAUAAUGGGUCAGCGACUUAUAUUCUGUAGCAAGGUUAACCGAAUAGGGGAGCCGAAGGGAAACCGAGUCUUAACUGGGCGUUAAGUUGCAGGGUAUAGACCCGAAACCCGGUGAUCUAGCCAUGGGCAGGUUGAAGGUUGGGUAACACUAACUGGAGGACCGAACCGACUAAUGUUGAAAAAUUAGCGGAUGACUUGUGGCUGGGGGUGAAAGGCCAAUCAAACCGGGAGAUAGCUGGUUCUCCCCGAAAGCUAUUUAGGUAGCGCCUCGUGAAUUCAUCUCCGGGGGUAGAGCACUGUUUCGGCAAGGGGGUCAUCCCGACUUACCAACCCGAUGCAAACUGCGAAUACCGGAGAAUGUUAUCACGGGAGACACACGGCGGGUGCUAACGUCCGUCGUGAAGAGGGAAACAACCCAGACCGCCAGCUAAGGUCCCAAAGUCAUGGUUAAGUGGGAAACGAUGUGGGAAGGCCCAGACAGCCAGGAUGUUGGCUUAGAAGCAGCCAUCAUUUAAAGAAAGCGUAAUAGCUCACUGGUCGAGUCGGCCUGCGCGGAAGAUGUAACGGGGCUAAACCAUGCACCGAAGCUGCGGCAGCGACACUAUGUGUUGUUGGGUAGGGGAGCGUUCUGUAAGCCUGUGAAGGUGUGCUGUGAGGCAUGCUGGAGGUAUCAGAAGUGCGAAUGCUGACAUAAGUAACGAUAAAGCGGGUGAAAAGCCCGCUCGCCGGAAGACCAAGGGUUCCUGUCCAACGUUAAUCGGGGCAGGGUGAGUCGACCCCUAAGGCGAGGCCGAAAGGCGUAGUCGAUGGGAAACAGGUUAAUAUUCCUGUACUUGGUGUUACUGCGAAGGGGGGACGGAGAAGGCUAUGUUGGCCGGGCGACGGUUGUCCCGGUUUAAGCGUGUAGGCUGGUUUUCCAGGCAAAUCCGGAAAACCAAGGCUGAGGCGUGAUGACGAGGCACUACGGUGCUGAAGCGACAAAUGCCCUGCUUCCAGGAAAAGCCUCUAAGCAUCAGGUAACAUCAAAUCGUACCCCAAACCGACACAGGUGGUCAGGUAGAGAAUACCAAGGCGCUUGAGAGAACUCGGGUGAAGGAACUAGGCAAAAUGGUGCCGUAACUUCGGGAGAAGGCACGCUGAUAUGUAGGUGAAGCGACUUGCUCGUGGAGCUGAAAUCAGUCGAAGAUACCAGCUGGCUGCAACUGUUUAUUAAAAACACAGCACUGUGCAAACACGAAAGUGGACGUAUACGGUGUGACGCCUGCCCGGUGCCGGAAGGUUAAUUGAUGGGGUUAGCGGUAACGCGAAGCUCUUGAUCGAAGCCCCGGUAAACGGCGGCCGUAACUAUAACGGUCCUAAGGUAGCGAAAUUCCUUGUCGGGUAAGUUCCGACCUGCACGAAUGGCGUAAUGAUGGCCAGGCUGUCUCCACCCGAGACUCAGUGAAAUUGAACUCGCUGUGAAGAUGCAGUGUACCCGCGGCAAGACGGAAAGACCCCGUGAACCUUUACUAUAGCUUGACACUGAACAUUGAGCCUUGAUGUGUAGGAUAGGUGGGAGGCUUUGAAGUGUGGACGCCAGUCUGCAUGGAGCCGACCUUGAAAUACCACCCUUUAAUGUUUGAUGUUCUAACGUGGGCCCCUAAUCGGGGUUGCGGACAGUGUCUGGUGGGUAGUUUGACUGGGGCGGUCUCCUCCUAAAGAGUAACGGAGGAGCACGAAGGUUGGCUAAUCCUGGUCGGACAUCAGGAGGUUAGUGCAAUGGCAUAAGCCAGCUUGACUGCGAGCGUGACGGCGCGAGCAGGUGCGAAAGCAGGUCAUAGUGAUCCGGUGGUUCUGAAUGGAAGGGCCAUCGCUCAACGGAUAAAAGGUACUCCGGGGAUAACAGGCUGAUACCGCCCAAGAGUUCAUAUCGACGGCGGUGUUUGGCACCUCGAUGUCGGCUCAUCACAUCCUGGGGCUGAAGUAGGUCCCAAGGGUAUGGCUGUUCGCCAUUUAAAGUGGUACGCGAGCUGGGUUUAGAACGUCGUGAGACAGUUCGGUCCCUAUCUGCCGUGGGCGCUGGAGAACUGAGGGGGGCUGCUCCUAGUACGAGAGGACCGGAGUGGACGCAUCACUGGUGUUCGGGUUGUCAUGCCAAUGGCACUGCCCGGUAGCUAAAUGCGGAAGAGAUAAGUGCUGAAAGCAUCUAAGCACGAAACUUGCCCCGAGAUGAGUUCUCCCUGACUCCUUGAGGGUCCUGAAGGAACGUUGAAGACGACGACGUUGAUAGGCCGGGUGUGUAAGCGCAGCGAUGCGUUGAGCUAACCGGUACUAAUGAACCGUGAGGCUUAACCUUACAACGCCGAAG
rnacentral:rRNA from 1 species